rnacentral:ncRNA from 1 species
GUCCGAGAAGACGAUCUAACUUGAUCAUUUAGAGGAAGUAUUAGUCGUAACAAGGUUUCCGUAGGUGAACCUGCGGAAGGAUCAUUA